rnacentral:rRNA from 1 species
UUUCAGUACCAUAGGAAUGAACCAUCAAGGGUUAUUGUUUGGUGCCCAGAGAGGAAGAAUGGAUGUGAAUUUUUCAUGACUCCAUCCAAAGUAGCCCAUGAAGAUACAUUCACAAUCAAGAAGGGCCACAUGGAUCAUAGUUGUGGAUCUUGUGGAGAGAGUACAAAGGUUACUACUGAAUGGGUUGCAGAAGCUAUGGUGAACACAUUUAGAUCGAAUGUAAAGGCUGAUGUAGAGACAGUUCUCAAACAUACGAAGAAGUUUGGGAACGGAGGGAGUAGGAGUUUGGCAUAUAGGGCAAGUCUGAUGGCUGUUGAUGUUGUGCAAGGUGAUCAUAGAAAGCAGUAUCUGACGUUGAGGGACUAUCUACAAUGUGUGCUUGACACAAACCCUGGAAGCAUGUGC